rnacentral:rRNA from 1 species
GAGCGGCGGACGGGUGAGUAAUGCCUAGGAAUCUGCCUGGUAGUGGGGGAUAACGCUCGGAAACGGACGCUAAUACCGCAUACGUCCUACGGGAGAAAGCAGGGGACCUUCGGGCCUUGCGCUAUCAGAUGAGCCUAGGUCGGAUUAGCUAGUUGGUGAGGUAAUGGCUCACCAAGGCGACGAUCCGUAACUGGUCUGAGAGGAUGAUCAGUCACACUGGAACUGAGACACGGUCCAGACUCCUACGGGAGGCAGCAGUGGGGAAUAUUGGACAAUGGGCGAAAGCCUGAUCCAGCCAUGCCGCGUGUGUGAAGAAGGUCUUCGGAUUGUAAAGCACUUUAAGUUGGGAGGAAGGGCAGUUACCUAAUACGUAUCUGUUUUGACGUUACCGACAGAAUAAGCACCGGCUAACUCUGUGCCAGCAGCCGCGGUAAUACAGAGGGUGCAAGCGUUAAUCGGAAUUACUGGGCGUAAAGCGCGCGUAGGUGGUUCGUUAAGUUGGAUGUGAAAUCCCCGGGCUCAACCUGGGAACUGCAUCCAAAACUGGCGAGCUAGAGUAUGGUAGAGGGUGGUGGAAUUUCCUGUGUAGCGGUGAAAUGCGUAGAUAUAGGAAGGAACACCAGUGGCGAAGGCGACCNNCUGGACUGAUACUGACACUGAGGUGCGAAAGCGUGGGGAGCAAACAGGAUUAGAUACNCUGGUAGUCCACGCCGU